CCAUCAUUUUUUUCUCUUUGUUGGAAGCUGGGGAGGGGGGUGGUCCCGACUCCCGCCAGCUCCUCUCCCCGUAGCGAGGAGCGAGUGUGUCGGCAGGCGAGGAGAGACUUGUCAGGCUGGUCGCUAGGACUCGACACGCAUGCUAAUGGAAGAAGCCAACCAGUUGAUUUCCUCUCCGUGGGCCGCCCUCCUUCUCCUUCCGCACGGGUGCACCUGCUGCCUGCUUGCCUGCCUGCCGCACCGAUACUCCAAUGAGUACAAUCCCGCCUUGGACGCUCCGCAGUGGGGACCCCUGAGUCACACGCUCCUGGGAGGGUGGAGGAAAGUCUCACACGGCAUCUGGGCCGGUAUCGGAACCCCAAGCACCGGGUCGACGCGCUUUAAAAGCCCCACAUGGGAAAGAGAAAGUCGGCUCCGAGCUGACAGUGUCUUGUGUGUAGGAGGCGCAACGCCCCCUACAGGACGCCUGCUGCACACCUGGGAGGACAUUGGGGUCAAUGUAUGACAAUGGGCCCUAAAAAGAUUGAGGUGAAGAUAGUCACGACGCGGACUCGAACCCGUGUUGCUCCUGCAACUGAGUGUCAAGAUUCCUCCUCUGGCUGCUUGCCCGGACACGCCCCUGCUCGUGCUGGGAGCAGCACGCCCACACAGCGACAAGGCUGCAAACAAUCACUCUUCAGCACACCUGCACUUGACGAGAGGGAGCAGCAUAAAAGACCAGCAAAGCCAGGAGACCUUCGCCAGAACGUAGCCAAUCUUCUCUAAUGUCUUUGAUCGUGUCUUGCCUCACGACCUCCUCCCGGAUCUUUACUUGCCUUCCCCGAUCCUCGACCACUGCUUGGACCCUGACAUCGUGACCUCUCUCCAGCCCCCGACUGCUUGCCUUCCUGCUGACUGCCUCUUCGCCUUCCCCCUUGGAUUUGACGAAAGAUACAUCCAACACGCACCGACAACAUCCUCUGGUAAAUUCCACAUUGUUAAUUCCACACAUCGUCCGCAUUCAUUCACUAGUGGUAGCAUACACACCCCACACAUUCAUCAAAGGUUUCAAUAAACCUUCUAAACCGCAGUUCUGCCCUGGUGUUGCCUCCUUCC